UACGUAGGGUGCGAGCGUUGUCCGGAAUUAUUGGGCGUAAAGAGCUCGUAGGCGGUCUGUCGCGUCGGUCGUGAAAACUUGGGGCUUAACCCUGAGCUUGCGGUCGAUACGGGCAUGACUGGAGUUCGGCAGGGGAGACUGGAAUUCCUGGUGUAGCGGUGAAAUGCGCAGAUAUCAGGAGGAACACCGGUGGCGAAGGCGGCCAACUGGACGAUUACUGACGCUGAGGGACGAAAGCUAGGGGAGCGAACGGG
rnacentral:rRNA from 1 species